UACGUAGGGGGCAAGCGUUGUCCGGAUUUAUUGGGCGUAAAGAGCGUGUAGGCGGCCAUGUAGGUCCGUUGUGAAAACUCGAGGCUCAACCUCGAGACGUCGGUUGAAACCAUCUGGCUAGAGUCCGGAAGAGGAGUGUGGAAUUCCCGGUGUAGCGGUGAAAUGCGCAGAUAUCGGGAAGAACACCCGUGGCGAAGGCGGCACUCUGGGCCGGUACUGACACUGAGGAGCGAAAGCGUGGGGAUCAAACAGG
rnacentral:rRNA from 1 species